rnacentral:rRNA from 1 species
UUGCAGGGUAUAGACCCGAAACCCGGUGAUCUAGCCAUGGGCAGGUUGAAGGUUGGGUAACACUAACUGGAGGACCGAACCGACUAAUGUUGAAAAAUUAGCGGAUGACUUGUGGCUGGGGGUGAAAGGCCAAUCAAACCGGGAGAUAGCUGGUUCUCCCCGAAAGCUAUUUAGGUAGCGCCUCGUGAAUUCAUCUCCGGGGGUAGAGCACUGUUUCGGCAAGGGGGUCAUCCCGACUUACCAACCCGAUGCAAACUGCGAAUACCGGAGAAUGUUAUCACGGGAGACACACGGCGGGUGCUAACGUCCGUCGUGAAGAGGGAAACAACCCAGACCGCCAGCUAAGGUCCCAAAGUCAUGGUUAAGUGGGAAACGAUGUGGGAAGGCCCAGACAGCCAGGAUGUUGGCUUAGAAGCAGCCAUCAUUUAAAGAAAGCGUAAUAGCUCACUGGUCGAGUCGGCCUGCGCGGAAGAUGUAACGGGGCUAAACCAUGCAC